rnacentral:rRNA from 1 species
AUUGAACGCUGGCGGCAUGCCUUACACAUGCAAGUCGAACGGUAACGGGCCUUCGGGUGCCGACGAGUGGCGAACGGGUGCGUAAUACAUCGGAACGUGCCCGAUCGUGGGGGAUAACGAGGCGAAAGCUUUGCUAAUACCGCAUACGAUCUACGGAUGAAAGCAGGGGACCGCAAGGCCUUGCGCGGACGGAGCGGCCGAUGGCAGAUUAGGUAGUUGGUGGGAUAAAAGCUUACCAAGCCGACGAUCUGUAGCUGGUCUGAGAGGAUGAUCAGCCACACUGGGACUGAGACACGGCCCAGACUCCUACGGGAGGCAGCAGUGGGGAAUUCUGGACAAUGGGCGCAAGCCUGAUCCAGCCAUGCCGCGUGCAGGAUGAAGGCCUUCGGGUUGUAAACUGCUUUUGUACGGAACGAAAAGCCUUCUUUUAAUACAGGAGGGUCAUGACGGUACCGGAAGAAUAAGCACCGGCUAACUACGUG